rnacentral:rRNA from 1 species
UACGUAGGGUGCGAGCGUUAAUCGGAAUUACUGGGCGUAAAGCGUGCGCAGGCGGUUCGUUGUGUCCGUCGUGAAAGCCCCGGGCUUAACCUGGGAACUGCGAUGGAAACUAGCGAGCUGGAGUGUGGCAGAGGGGGGUGGAAUUCCGCGUGUAGCAGUGAAAUGCGCAGAUAUCAGGAGGAACACCAAUGGCGAAGGCAGCUCGCUGGGACGUGACUGACGCUGAGACGCGAAAGCGUGGGGAGCAAACAGG